rnacentral:rRNA from 1 species
UGCGUAGGUGGUUUCUUAAGUCAGAGGUGAAAGGCUACGGCUCAACCGUAGUAAGCCUUUGAAACUGGGAAACUUGAGUGCAGGAGAGGAGAGUGGAAUUCCUAGUGUAGCGGUGAAAUGCGUAGAUAUUAGGAGGAACACCAGUUGCGAAGGCGGCUCUCUGGACUGUAACUGACACUGAGGCACGAAAGCGUGGGAGCAAACA